UACGGGGGGGGCAAGCGUUGUUCGGAAUUACUGGGCGUAAAGGGCUUGUAGGCGGCCAACUAAGUCAGACGUGAAAUCCCUCGGCUUAACCGGGGAACUGCGUCUGAUACUGGAUGGCUUGGAUCCGGGAGAGGGAUGCGGAAUUCCAGGUGUAGCGGUGAAAUGCGUAGAUAUCUGGAGGAACACCGGUGGCGAAGGCGGCAUCCUGGACCGGUAUUGACGCUGAGGAGCGAAAGCCAGGGGAGCAAACGGG
rnacentral:rRNA from 1 species